CUUGCUGAAGUAGAGGCAGCACCGAGACAGGCCUUUGCCACUGGUCCGGAUUGGGAUGUUGAAGAACACGGUGUCAUCGGCCAGGUUCUGGAAGGUGGACAUGGAUGAGUACAAUGAGAACAAGUUCGUGGACGAGGAAGACGGGGGCGACGACCAGGCUGGGCCUGACGAGGUCGAGGUGGACUCCUGCCUGCGGCAAGGAAAUAUGACUGCUGCCCUCCAAGCAGCUCUGAAACCCCCCCCAUCAACACCAAGAGUCAGGCGGUAAUCUGGCAGGCAGCAUUGUCUUAAAGGUGCUCAUCUCAUUUAAAGCUAAUGAUAUCCAAGAGGCAGUUCGAUCUCUGGACAAGAAUGGUGUGGAUCUCCUAAUGAAGUAUAUUUAUAAAGGCUUUGAGAGCCCUUCUGACAAUAGCAGUGCUAUGUUACUUCAGUGGCAUGAAAAGGCACUUGCUGCUGGAGGAGUAGGGUCCAUUGUUCAUGUCCUGACUGCAAGGAAAACAGUGUAGUCCAGCAGGAGCUGGAUCUGUCGGGGGAGUGGGAGUUGCUGGUACAAAGACCAAAACAACCAAAUGCCACCGCUGCCCUGUGGGUAGCAUCUGUUUCUCUCAGCUUUGCCUUCUUGCUUCCUUUUUCAUAUCUGUAAAGAAGAAUAUUACAUAUCAGUUUUCCUUUAAUGAAAAUUGGAAUAACAAAGACGAAAUCAUGUUUCAGCAGGAGUUUCAUCCUCUCAAAUUCUUUCAAUGGGGUGUAUACCAGUCUGUAUAUAGCAUAAUUUACAUUCAGUUUAAUUGUGCAAUUUUUAACUCCUAGUGGCUGGUUUCUGUUUUGUUUUGUAUUAUUUUUAACUAAUGCUGAGAUAUUUGAUCAGAAUUUGAAGCCAGUUUCCUAUCUCAUUGCUAGUCAGGAAGUAAUCUGUAUUAAAAACAUGAGAGACUGGCAGCUAUUAAUAUUGCAAAACUGGACUAUACUUCCCUUAUGUAAGCAAAAUGUAUUUCCAAAAUCAGUGGUGGGUGAACACCACUACCAAGUUCCAGCUUUGUUUCUGCUUGCCCCCAGAUUAUGUGUGCUGUGAGUUUGAGUAUGCUACUUCCUCUCAGCAUCCAGUAAUCAUGGCCUCUCAUUUUCUUUGUGGUCACCCAGGGUUCAGAGCAGGAAGUCUUGCUCUAUACAAAUGUAUCUAUAAAA